GGAACUGGUUUGAGUACAGUGGUGUUUACAACCAAUUAAUUACAACCAGUUACAGAUAUCUUUGUUUCUUCUCCACUCACCCUGUUUCACUUGACAAGCCCUAC
rnacentral:Y_RNA from 1 species